CCUACGGGUGGCAGCAGUGGGGAAUAUUGCUCAAUGGGGGAAACCCUGAUCCAGCAACGCCGCGUGAGUGUAGAAGUAUUUCGGUCGUUAAAGUUCUAUCAUCAGGGAAGAAGAUGACGGUACCUGAGCAAGAAGCGCCGGCUAACUACGUGCCAGCAGCCGCGGUAAGACGUAGGGGGCAAGCGUUAUCCGGAGUUGCUGGGGUUAAAGGGAGCGGAGGCGGGGAGUGAAGGCUGCGGUGGAAGGCCCGGGCCCAACGCGCGGAAGUGCCCUGGAAACUGCGCGGCUGGAUUACUGAAGGGGCAGGAGGAAUGCCUGGUGUAGCGGUGAAAUGCGUAGAUAUUAGACGGAACACCAGUGGCGAAGGCAGCCUGCUGGACAGUAACUGACGUUGAGGCUCGAAAGCGUGGGGAGCAAACAGGAUUAGAUACCCGUGUAGUC
rnacentral:rRNA from 1 species